AUUGAACGCUGGCGGCAUGCUUUACACAUGCAAGUCGAACGGCAGCGCGGGCUUCGGCCUGGCGGCGAGUGGCGAACGGGUGAGUAAUGCAUCGGAACGUGCCCAGUAGUGGGGGAUAGCCCGGCGAAAGCCGGAUUAAUACCGCAUACGACCUGAGGGUGAAAGCGGGGGACCGAAAGGCCUCGCGCUAUUGGAGCGGCCGAUGUCGGAUUAGCUAGUUGGUGGGGUAAAGGCUUACCAAGGCGACGAUCCGUAGCUGGUCUGAGAGGACGACCAGCCACACGGGGACUGGAACCCGGCCCAGCCCCCAAGGGGGGGCAGCGUGGGGGAAUUUUGGAAAACGGGGGAAACCCUGACCCGGCCCUGCCGCGUGGGGGAAGAAGGCCUUCGGGUUUAAACCCGCUUUUGUUCGGGAAGAAAUCCCCUGGGCUAAAACCCCGGGGGGAGCAGGGUACCGAAAGAAUAAACACCGGCUAAAUACGU
rnacentral:rRNA from 1 species